AGCAUGGCGGGGGAAGGUGUGUGGUGAUCUGUGCUGCCCGCUGGCCUACAUUUUAACUCGGGGGGGCCAAGGCGACGCACACGGGUAGAAAAGCUCAAUCCUGCAGGAACGUUUCAUUAUCUAAAGCCGACGUUAGUAAUGACUACAAGCAAGCACAGCAGGUCCAAGGAUUUGAGAGCACCACCACAUAAAAAGGUUGGACAAGUGAAGUUGAGAAUGCCAACACAUGAGUGGCAAAUGUUUGUCAGUACACAGUUUUGAAAUGAUUUUGAUAUGUACUUUGAACCUGUAAUGCCAGCUUUUUGUAUGAACUUAACCAUUUCCUCAUUCCUAGAGGGGCUCAUGAAAUUGGUGUUGUAGUUCCCUUUUUGUUACUGAAUUGGUUAUCAGAAGUUAAAUCACCACCAAUACUUACCUGACCCUUUAAUUGACAGGGUUAGCUGGGAGGACCUUCCCAGUGCAAGGCCCAAAGCCAACCCUGUAUCCCUCUCCCUGACAGUAACCAGUCAUCACGACUUCAUCACCAUCUUGAAGGAACUUCCGUGUCUCUCCAUUGCCAAUGUCAACUGUCUUGCUGCCUCUCCAAGACAACUCCAGCAUUGAGCCAAAGGAGUCCUCAGU